rnacentral:piRNA from 1 species
UCAAUCACUCAGCUCAGCUCC